rnacentral:rRNA from 1 species
GAUGAACGCUGGCGGCGUGCCUAAUACAUGCAAGUCGAGCGAAUGGAUUAAGAGCUUGCUCUUAUGAAGUUAGCGGCGGACGGGUGAGUAACACGUGGGUAACCUGCCCAUAAGACUGGGAUAACUCCGGGAAACCGGGGCUAAUACCGGAUAACAUUUUGAACCGCAUGGUUCGAAAUUGAAAGGCGGCUUCGGCUGUCACUUAUGGAUGGACCCGCGUCGCAUUAGCUAGUUGGUGAGGUAACGGCUCACCAAGGCAACGAUGCGUAGCCGAGCUGAGAGGGUGGACGGCCACACUGGGACUGAGACACGGCCCAGACUCCUACGGGAGGCAGCAGUAGGGAAUCUUCCGCAAUGGACGAAAGUCUGACGGAGCAACGCCGCGUGAGUGAUGAAGGCUUUCGGGUCGUAAAACUCUGUUGUUAGGGAAGAACAAGUGCUAGUUGAAUAAGCUGACACCUUGACGGUACCUAACCAGAAAGCCACGGCUAACUACGUGCCAGCAGCCGCGGUAA